rnacentral:rRNA from 1 species
ACAAGCGGUGGAGGAUGUGGUUUAAUUCGACGCAACGCGAAGAACCUUACCUAGGCUUGACAUGCUGGCGAAAACCGUGGAAACACGGUCCUCCCGCAAGGGACGCUAGUACAGGUGGUGCAUGGCUGUCGUCAGCUCGUGUCGUGAGAUGUUGGGUUAAGUCCCGCAACGAGCGCAACCCUUAUCAUUAGUUGCUAACAUUCAGUUGAGAACUCUAAUGAGACUGCCAGUGAUAAACUGGAGGAAGGUGGGAUGACGUCAAAUCAUCAUGCCCCUUAUGACCUGGGCUACACACGUGCUACAAUGGCCGGUACAAAGAGUUGCGAAACUGUGAAGUUAAGCUAAUCUCAUAAAGCCGGUCUCAGUUCGGAUUGUAGUCUGCAACUCGACUACAUGAAGUCGGAAUCGCUAGUAAUCGCGAAUCAGAAUGUCGCGGUGAAUACGUUCUCGAGUCUU